CUGUGUGAUUGCAAAAUGUUUAUUGAUUAAGGAAAGAGGGAAUCCAUUUAGCUGGGAACAAUCUUGGGGAGUUGAAUAGUAAGAUAUAUAGGACACUUGAGGGCUGAUGUUAGACUUUUCAGGCUACUAUAGGAUUCCUCAGGUUGUAUCCUUUCUCUUCUCAUCUCAUCUUUCUCCAACCCAAAUUUACAAACCAAACCAUUGAAGAAUGACAAGUCUAGCAAUGAAUUACCAUUUUGGGUGCAUAUAUUGAACUGCCUCCUGUAAGGAAUGCCAGGAAUCUGAAGAAAGCUAGGAGGUAACAUAUGCCCUGAGGGGGGUCAUGACAUAGUUACGACACAUAAGGGGCAUUAUUACAGUGUUGUGAGGGGCUGCACAGGGGAGGAAUGGGUAAGAGUCAGGGAGAGAUGUGCGCUCCCUCCCAUGCUGGAGCCACUGCCACCUCCCCAUUCACAGCUGGCUGGCUGACAGGCUUGUCCAGAGGCAGCGAGGCAGAGGCAUGGCGGUUCACGGGUGAGGAAACUGGGCAGUGAACCCAAGCCCCUUCAGUCAUAUCAACAUCAGAAGCUGAGCUAGGACUGGAAUUCACUGCCCUGGAGCUUUUUGCUACCAGGCAAUAAAGCAAGGGCUUUUUCAUGUAUGCUUGACCUUCAGUGGAGAUUGCAGAAAAUCACAAAUGUAAGACUAUUGAGAUUGUUGUUGUUUAAAAGCUUUUUAAAAAAUAACU